GACGAACGCUGGCGGCGUGCUUAACACAUGCCAGUCGAACGGAAAGGCCCUGCUUUUGUGGGGUGCUCGAGUGGCGAACGGGUGAGUAACACGUGAGUAACCUGCCCUUGACUUUGGGAUAACUUCAGGAAACUGGGGCUAAUACCGGAUAGGAGCUCCUGCUGCAUGGUGGGGGUUGGAAAGUUUCGGCGGUUGGGGAUGGACUCGCGGCUUAUCAGCUUGUUGGUGGGGUAGUGGCUUACCAAGGCUUUGACGGGUAGCCGGCCUGAGAGGGUGACCGGCCACAUUGGGACUGAGAUACGGCCCAGACUCCUACGGGAGGCAGCAGUGGGGAAUAUUGCACAAUGAGCGGAAGCCUGAUGCAGCAACGCCGCGUGCGGGAUGACGGCCUUCGGGUUGUAAACCGCUUUCGCCUGUGACGAAGCGUGAGUGACGGUAAUGGGUAAAGAAGCACCGGCUAACUACGU
rnacentral:rRNA from 1 species